rnacentral:rRNA from 1 species
UUCCCCUAGUAACGGCGAAGUGAAGCGGGAACAGCUCAAAUUUAAAAUCUGCGACGUCUUUCGUCGUAGAAUUGUAGUUAAGAGAAGUGUUUUCCCUGGGAUGCCCGCCGGCCUAAGUUGCUUGGAACAGCACGUCAUAGAGGGUGAGAACCCCGUCUGUGGCUCGGUGGGCGCCUGGUAUGAUGCACUUUCGACGAGUCGGGUUGUUUGGGAAUGCAGCCCUAACUGGGUGGUAAACUCCAUCUAAAGCUAAAUAUUGCCACGAGACCGAUAGCGAACAAGUACCGUGAGGGAAAGAUGAAAAGCACUUUGAAAAGAGAGUUAAAAGCACGUGAAACCGUUGAAAGGGAAACGCGCUCGGCUAGCAAUGUGCCUCGGCGGUUCAGCCGGUUUGGGGGUGGAGGUCGUCGUUGUCGGAUCCGAAUGGACCGCGGCGGCGGCCGUCCGCACUCGAGCCGCGGUGCACUCUGCCGGGGUACGCGUCAGCGUCGGUUCGCAGUUCAGGCGAUAAGGCACGAAGGGAAGGUAGCUCGUGGCUUGCCACGAGCAUUAUAGCCCUAUGUGCUGGGUCUGGUGCGGACCGAGGAGAGAGAGGAUCGCUGCAGCGCAUGCCGCAAGGCUAGCUACCCGUUGCUCGGUGUGCUUCACAGGCUGAGGACUGCACGCAGUGUUCGGCGUGGCGGAGUGGCCAGGUGGUGGAGUGGUAUAAAUGCGCUUAGGACGCUGGCGUCCAAAUGGCCGUGCGCGACCCGUCUUGAAACACGGACCAAGGAGUCUAACAUGUGCGCGAGUCUUUGGGUGUAGAAACCCGUGGGCGCAAUGAAAGUGAAGGUCCUCUCCGAGGGCUGAGGUGAGAGCCGGUCUUGCGGGAUCGGUGCAUCAUCGACCGGUCUAGUCUUCUCUAAGGUGGAUCCGAGUAAGAGCGUAUUUGUUGGGACCCGAAAGAUGGUGAACUAUGCCUGAAUAGGGUGAAGCCAGAGGAAACUCUGGUGGAGGCUCGUAGCGAUUCUGACGUGCAAAUCGAUCGUCAAAUUUGGGUAUAGGGGCGAAAGACUAAUCGAACC